rnacentral:snRNA from 1 species
GUGCUUGCUUUGGCAGCAUAUAUACUAAAACUGGAACAAUACAGAGAAGAUUAGCAUGGCCCCUGCACAAGAAUGACAUGCAAAUUCAUGAAGCAUUCCAUGUUUCU